ACGGAAGGCAGCAGUGGGGAAUAUUGCACAAUGGGGGAAACCCUGAUGCAGCGACGCCGCGUGAGUGAAGAAGUAUUUCGGUAUGUAAAGCUCUAUCAGCAGGGAAGAAAAUGACGGUACCUGACUAAGAAGCCCCGGCUAACUACGUGCCAGCAGCCGCGGUAAUACGUAGGUUGCAAGCGUUGUCCGGAUUUACUGGGUGUAAAGGGCGUGUAGGCGGAGCUGCAAGUCAGAUGUGAAAUCCCGGGGCUCAACCCCGGAACUGCAUUUGAAACUGUAGCCCUUGAGUAUCGGAGAGGCAAGCGGAAUUCCUAGUGUAGCGGUGAAAUGCGUAGAUAUUAGGAGGAACACCAGUGGCGAAGGCGGCUUGCUGGACGACAACUGACGCUGAGGCGCGAAAGCGUGGGGAGCAAACAGGAUUAGAUACCCUGGUA
rnacentral:rRNA from 1 species